CUUCCUAUUUUGCACACAACCAUCACUCUCGGCAACCUGCUUACUGAAGGUGUCCUAGAUGAAGGUGAUUGCUCGAGUUAUUUUGGAAAGCUUCGAGUUAGUGCAGGAUUCUAAGACCUCAAGUUGAAGUUCAUUGAGAAAAGAAAAAUGGCAUUGUGAGAGACAUUAAAAUAAAGAACGUUAGUGCUGAUUGGUGGUCUGGUUUUAUUUUUCGAAGUCCGAAGAGAAAAAUCUCUUUGAUAUGUAUUGAUGACGUCAUUGGAGUACUCUCUAGCUGACAUGUAUCUUAGUGUUUGACCAGCUCGUGAUUAUUUGUUGGUUAGAGUCUUUUGUAGGGAGUUAUCUUUUAUCAUUUCUUAUU